rnacentral:rRNA from 1 species
UACGUAGGGGGCAAGCGUUGUCCGGAUUUAUUGGGCGUAAAGAGCGUGUAGGCGGCCGUACAGGUCAGCUGUGAAAACUCGAGGCUCAACCUCGAGACGUCGGUUGAAACCGUACGGCUAGAGUCCGGAAGAGGAGAGUGGAAUUCCCGGUGUAGCGGUGAAAUGCGCAGAUAUCGGGAAGAACACCCGUGGCGGAGGCGGCUCUCUGGGACGGUACUGACGCUGAGACGCGAAAGCGUGGGGAGCGAACAGG